UCCGUAGGUGAACCUGCGGAAGGAUCAUUACCGAGUUGAUUCGGGCUCCGGCCCGAUCCUCCCACCCUUUGUGUACCUACCUCUGUUGCUUUGGCGGGCCGCGGUUCUCCGCGGCCGCCCCCCUCCCCGGGGGGUGGCCAGCGCCCGCCAGAGGACCAUCAAACUCCAGUCAGUAAACGAUGCAGUCUGAAAAACAUUUAAUAAACUAAACUUUCAACAACGGAUCUCUUGGUUCUGGCAUCGAUGAAGAACGCAGCGAAAUGCGAUAAGUAAUGUGAAUUGCAGAAUUCAGUGAAUCAUCGAAUCUUUGAACGCACAUUGCGCCCUUUGGUAUUCCGAAGGGCAUGCCUGUUCGAGCGUCAUUACAACCCUCAAGCUCUGCUUGGUAUUGGGCACCGUCCUUUGCGGGCGCGCCUCAAAGACCUCGGCGGUGGCGUCUUGCCUCAAGCGUAGUAGAACAUACAUCUCGCUUCGGAGCGCAGGGCGUCGCCCGCCGGACGAACCUUCUGAACUUUUCUCAAGGUUGACCUCGGAUCAGGUAGGGAUACCCGCUGAACUUAAGCAUAUCAAUAAGCGGAGGA
rnacentral:rRNA from 1 species